AUUAUAUAAAUAAUGGAAGAUGAAAAUUUUAUAAAAAUAAUAUUAAUAAGUCGUAGGAACGCAGCACCUUUCGCAUAUUGACGAAGAACGGAUGAGUACCAGUCGCAAGGAUUGCUUCUAAUUCCGGAAUGAUAUCCAGGGAGCUCUUCAAGAGCAACGCAUAGCUUAGGUUUCGCUCUGCGUUCUGUACAUCAUUGACAUAUAAAGGUUUAAACGCUAACGUCAACAAGCGAUCCGUGCCGAAGAGGCGUUGUACCACCGGCUGUAAAAUACAGAUAUCUCACAUAAUGCGCGGGUGCAAAAGUUGAACCAAUUUUUUUUUUUUAGAUUCGUAAUCCUAUACCUGAAGACUGCUGAAUAGAGAACGAUUGGCCACCAAUUCUGCUACGCACGACUGCCGAUUCAGGAUCAAACGUUCGUCGCAGCUGGGCUGGAGGAUGGAAGCGCGCAGGAGUCUCCUACCCAUCGGGGUCAAGCAGCGGUCCAUCGUGCCUAGUAAACUGACAAUGAAACAUCCUAUAUAAUAUUAAGACACUCACGUCCUUCGGACGGGAGAUGUGACACUUGUCGAGUGAUUUGUGAAGGCUGGGGUCGCGAUAGGCUUCCGUGGAUGGAUAUCGGAAUCUCGGGGAUGCGCUCGACUUUAGCUCCCGUUCCACGGAGACGUCGUCCUUGUUGCGGCCCGCGAAUUCUGGAGGAGGUUGCUGCGCCUGGGUCGACGAUUGAUUGACGAGGGACCUCCAUUUGCGAUCGAACGUGGUCGUGAGGCUGGUUAGAAGGUCGCUACCUGCAAGAUUUCCAUUCUGCGUUAGCGAGGAUGCACGAGAACUCGCGCGAAGACACACACGAGACGCACAAAAACUUGUACAAGCUGGUGACGUAAUCUUGCGUGAGUGCAUUCCUGCAAAAAUAAAAUCGUCGCGCAAAUCGCAGAUUGCAGUCAGUUAGGAGUAUAAUAUAAUCCAUAACAAUGAUGAUGAGCGCGAUUAUCGCAGAAGAAUUAAUCGAUAUGUUAUUGUAUCUUCGUUCUUAUCAGAGAGCUUAUCGUCGUAAUCGCCGUAGUUUUCACUGUCUUUACUAUCGUCGUUGUUAAUAAAAGUUGUCAUUGUUUCGCCAGCUGUAUACAUUACAAUUGCAAUAACAAGAUCAUCAGCAAUGUCUUCUUUCUUGCGCUGAAGCGUGGUAGGAAAAAAAAACUAAAAUAUCCUUAGAUGUAAA